CGGGCAUGGUGGCAGGCGCCUGUAAUCCCAGCUACUCGGGGGGCCGAGGCAGGAGAAUCACUUGAAUCCGGGAGUCAGAGGUUGCAGUGAGCCGAGAUUGUGCCAUCACACUCCAGCCUGGGGGACAAGAGCGAGACUUUGUCUCAAAAAAAAAAAGAGAGAGAGAGACAGAUUGCACACUGGGCAGAGCUGGGGUUUGAACACAGGAUCAAGACCUGGGUUCUUCCUCUGCCUUCUCUACUUCCUCAACAAAAUUGGUAGGCUGACAAAAAUUCUUGCCCAGUAGCUGGAAGGCAGCGUGGAUUGUGAAGAGGAGAUCUAAAGGGAAACAAAUAAAUGGUCCUGGAACAGGACAAAUGGGCGGCAGAAGAGAAUAGCCGGCCUCUCAGCCCUUCAGCUGAUUCCUCCUAUAUCAAGGGUCACAGCCCUGCUACCACUGAUGGCAGAAGACAAGUGCUUGUGGCAUUUAUACUCAAGGAUGGCUCUUUAGAGCCCCUCUUCAACUCUUCAAGAAAAAAAAAAACAAAAAACAGAACCGUUAUUCUGUCUCCAAGGAAGAGAGGCCAAUUUUACCUUUUCCCUAGAGGAAUUUCCUAACCCUUCUCCACACAGAGAAAGCCCCAGAGCCUUUACAUUGGAAUCAUCCCUGGGCAAAUCCUGCAAGAGGAGAUUAAAAACAAACAAACAAAGCGUUUCCACCAGAAAAUGUGAGAAGUGAGCCUUUUUUGAAGGUAAGAAUUAGAAGUGACAGCGAAUCGGUGAAGGAACCAAGGCCAUGACAGGUGGUGAAGACAAGUAGGAGAGACAGUCACACUUCUACUUAUGAAAAGUGACUCCAAAGAAAGCCACUUUAUGCUGUGGGCCUGGUGGGUGAUACUGAGAUAGCACCAUUUAAACCAGCGAGAGCCACCUACGGCUUGCAGACUAGGGGUUUUUUUUUUCUCCAACAUGUACAGAUUUAUUUAGUGCUGUUAACUCUUCUUUUGGGCUUCUAAGCCCUGAAGAAUGGAUCCCAGGAAAACUGGACCGGAAAUCAGGAGCCUGCCAGCUAUAGCUGGGGCUUAUCCUCACCUUCACAUACAAAAGAAGGAAGGGCUAUGGACUAGCUGAAGUCCCUUCCAAAUUUAACUCAAUGUAAUUUUUAAUUUAUUCUGGCAAAUAUGUAUUGAAGACACACACUGUGUCAGGCAUGAUCUUGGCUUGAAGAUGUAAAGAUUUAGUCCCUGCCCUUGAGAACUCAGGCUAGUAGGGGAGAAGUGUGUGUCAGGAAAUACCCCAAGUCAUCGGUGCGAUGAGUGCAACAAGGCUGUUUGAAGGGAGAAGCAGGGCUGGGGAGGCCCCUGAACUGGGGGCCUAGGAAGGCUCAUGAAAUAAAUGAUGAAUAAAUGAUGUCUAAGCUGGGUUACUAAGGGUCAUGAGGCAUUCACUGGGGAGGGAGAGGGGGUGUCUGGUAAAGGGCUCCUUGCUACUUCCUAACCUGGAGCAAUCCAGAGAUGUAAGCUCUCUAGGUGCAAAGGAACCAGGCCUUUGGUUGGCUCAUGGGGGAAUGUGGUGCCCAGCCUAGGAACAGAAUCCAAGGUCAUUCUACUCUGAGUGGCCCUAAACUCACCAGGCCAAGGUCAUCCUCUAGGGCAGGGCUGUCCCAACAUCCUUCCUCACAGCCUUGGGGUUCAGAGGGGCGAGGUGGAGUGCAUGCAGGAGGGGAGGGCUAAGUGAGCAGGCCUUCAGUCCCAGCCUUCUGCCUUUCCAGUUGUCAUCUACAGAAGAGGAUGUCGUUGCUGGAGCAUUUUUGGAAAUCAGUGCUCUCAGGCCUGAAGUGGUUAUCAAUUCACAAUGAUCUCCUCGCAGAAACUUGAAUAUGAAAAGCAUCAUGAAAAAGGUUCUCUCCAGUUUUCUCCUCUUGUUUCUGAUGGCAGCUUCUUAGUUUCCUUGGCUGAUUCCCAAUUUGCCCUCUUCUAAGAGUCCAUUAAACGCUGGGAUUCUUCAGGGCUCUGGCCUGCAUUUGAGCUUCUUCUCAGGCUACCCUCUCCCGCAGGGGUAUCUUAUGGAGCUCCAGAUUUACAGUUCACCUGUUUGGCAAGGAUGCCCACCUCUCCAGCUCCUCUAGGUCCCAGAUGCACCCACACCACUGCCCUCCAUGACAUCACCACCUGAUGCCUCAAACUAAAUACAGCCAAGACUUGAACUCAUAACUGCCCCAUCUGCAGCCCCAGUUGUACUCUCUCCCCACCACUGCGACUCUCCGCAAAUGGUCCCACCAUAACCCAGUUGCUCAACCCAGAUCUUUAGCAAUCACUCUUAACUACUUCCUCUUCCUCACUCCCAACAUCCAAUUAACCACCAGUUCUUGGUCAUUCUGUCCUCUAACACUCUCUCAGAUCUGCCUGCCUCUCCCCAUCCCCACCAUCAGCACCCUAGUUCAGGCCACUUUCACUUGGACAACUACAAAAAUCUCCAUGAUCCCUCACCUCCCAUCUGGACUCCCCCUAAUCUGUUCUCCACACAGCUGCUGGGAUAUUUCAAGAACACAAAUCUGAUCCUAAGAAUCCCCUCCUGAAAACCUUUUAAUGGCUUCCCAUUCCUUUACAGCCCAAAAUCCUUCAAGAGGCUUAAAGGGCUACAAAUGACUGGGCAUCUCUCCAGCCCCAACUCAUGAAAUCCUCCAGCAUGUGAGACUUUGCCGAGUUCCUAGCACAAUACCUGCUCCCCGCUUCCCUGCCUCCCUUCCCUGUGCAGGCCCCUGUGCUACUCCUGCUGGCGGGGACUCCACUCUGCACCCCCCGCCUCCCCCCACCAACCCCGCCCCGUGCCCAGCCAUCUCUUACUUGACCUUCACUUCUCAGCUUGCGCUACACUCCUCGGGGAAGUCUGCUGCGUCCGUAUAGGUCAGGCCUCCAGUGCUCACGAUUUAUGCUCUGCAGCACUGCGCAUGCUCUUAUUUAUCUACAAUCAUUAGUUUGUUGUCUGUCUUUCAAAGAGCCAUGUUCUUCACUGCUCUCUAACCCGUGCUCAGCAUGGUGCCUAGCACACGACAGGUGCUCCAUUUGUAUUCUUUAAAGUAUUUUUUUAAACCACUUCUAUAGCUCUUCCUGGCACCGGUAAGCGAAUGCUGCCCUCAGAUCCCCACCUCUCUCCCUUCCCAUUCUCCUCUUUCCCUCAGUCCGUGGUCUGGUUCCUGUCACCAGGGCCUUGUGUCCUACUGAUUCCAACAUAACCUUCACACACUGUGUGAUGAUGAAACCUAGAAAGCAAUUUCAUUUUCUACUGAGUAAUGCCUACGAUGUCAGAAUACACCCACUAUUGUUACUUCUAUAGAAAUUAUAAUCCAAACUCUAGGGAUCUGUGUCUAGAGUCCAGAAUCCAGAUUGGCACCAAAAAGGGAAGAAGCAUUAUUUAAUAAAAUAUUUGUCUGGUUUCCAUUCUCACUGUUGCUUUCUCAGAGAGAUAAACAUAUAUACUAUGGGGAUGUUCUGGUUAAAUAGUUUGGCUUAGUUGGGAUUUAUAGCGAUUAUCUCAGAAGCUCAGUUGCUCAGGAGGGGGAACAGGUAGGCAGAGCAAUCCCUUAGAAGUGUAAGAUGUACAAGCAUCAAGCACAGGAAAAAGAAAAACCUUGCUUUCCAAAGUCCAAAAGCUUUCCUCUGGCUGCAGUGCAGCCUCUUGCUGGUGCAGGCAACAUGACCGAGAGCCAAGCGUGAAUGACAGAGUCUGAUUUGUUCAGCAAAGCCUGUUUCAAAGCAAUUAAAAAGAGAACGUCAUCUCCUGUAGAAGCUGCAAACAAAAGGCCAGGGAUGCUUUUUCCUUUUUUAAUUGAUCUGGGCUGUCAACUACUUCAUUAGCAACCUGAUUAGGUUCUAAUCAGCCCUCUAAUUAAGUGCUUUCAAAUCAGAACCUGAGAAGGGUGUGAACUUAGAAGGGGUGAUGGUGCAGGUUGGACAGGACCACUUGCAAGAAAUUCCAAUGAGUUCCUUAACCUGAGGCAAGAUUCAAACUUUAUUCUUGCAAGUAGAUUUCCAUACAGUGGGGGGAGUCCUGUGAACAUUUUGUUUCGGAAACAAAUGGUUCAACUCCUUACUUUGAAAGUCUAGGCAGUAAAGCACCAAGAACUUCUUGCUUAAGAAGAACAUGGAAAAAUAAUUGGAAAAUAUUUCACAAACAGGAGCAAAGGGAGAAAGCAAAAUUAAUGCUUUUGGCUGACAGUCUGUCUUCUAGAAUGACUUUCUUUGGCCUCAGGAAACCCUUGGACUCUAGGUAACCAAGAAGUGUCUUGGAAAGACCUCUCAAAUCUAAAAUUCAGGGAAACCCAGCACCAUUUCUUGCAACGCCACAAAGAGGCAAGUGCAGAUCCUAACCCGCACUCCGCUUCAAAGGUGCUUCACUUUUGAGAUGUCGGUUCUGAGGUGGUGGUGGUUGUUUGACAGCCGUAUAUUAUUAAUACCUUCAACCGCCAAUACUAGGAGCUCCGAUCAUGUUUUGAUGACCAACACGAGUCUAACAUAUAAGUAAGCUUGGGAAUUUUAUUCUUCAAAACCACAGUGAUCAUAAAAGGGCAUUUUAUUAGUCCAUUCUCUGACUGCCAUAAAUAAAUACCUGAGACUGGGUAAUGUAUAAAGAAAAGAGGUUGAAUUGGCUCACGAUUCUGCAGGCUGUACAGGAAGCAUGGUGGCAUCUGCUUGGCUUCUGGGGAAGCCUCAGGAAACUUACAAUCAUGGCAGAAGGUGAAAGGAAAGCAGGCACAUCACAUGGUCGGAACAGGAGGAAGAGAAAGAAGGGGGAAGUGAUAUACAUUUUUAAACAGUCAGAUCUCCUGAGAACUCACUAUCACAACAGCACCAAGGGGCGAUGGUAUUAAGCCAUGAGAACUCUGCCCUUCCCCCAGCAAUGAUCCAAUCACCUCCCACCAGGCCCCACAUCCAACACUGGGGAUUACAAUUCGACAGGAGAUUUGCGUGGGACACAGAUCCAAACCAUAUCAGUCAUUAAAAGAAAAAUCAUUUGAUGUGGCUCUUCAUGGAAGCAAGAAUUUUUCAUGCAGAUGGGAUGAAAGGAUACCAUAAGUUAGCCAACACAAGACCUUAUCUUAGCACCCAAAUGUUAUAACCCGGACCCCACCUCUGGAAUUUUCUAAGUUAAGAAGGUAGAUCGAAAGUAAGUGCAAUUCAUUUGACCACAAUGGGCUGAAGCAUAGGUAAUAUGAAAAUCAACAGAACUGAAGCUCUCUGAAAGUUUUCUGAACUGGGAGUGUGUGGCUGGUGUGUGUGUGGUAGGGGGAGAUGGUUGUGAAUUAGGGGAUGGGGAAGUAUGAAUUUACUGUAAACUUCCAUUGGCUUGUGUUAUAAACAAAUCCAGGUUACUCUGGAACAUGUUUUUUAGUUAUGACCUUGUAGCACUGUCCCUCCAUGUCACAAGGGUGAUGACAGAAACUGAAGCUGAUUACAGGUAAAGUUAUGGCAUCCUAUGACCGCUAGCUCCUCCAGUGAGGUAGGAUGUUAAAAACACAGGCUUUGGAAUCAGACCAUCCUGAUUGUGGCUUAGGAUGGGUUUUUAUCUGUUCUAAGCUCCUAUUUCCUUAUCUGUAAAAUGGGCAUAAUAUUCUACCCUUACAGAGAUUUUAUGAAUAUUAAAGAGAAGACAUUUUUAAAGUGCUGAUCCCACAGUAAUGACUAUGACAGGUCAGGUUCCUUCUCCUCCUUCUCUCCUCACCUUUUCCUGCCCUAUCUUUUCCUCUCGCAGACCCCUAACCUCCUCUUCUCCUCUUAGAACCACAUUUUAAAACUUUAACCUGUAAAGCCAGAAACUAUUUUUUCAUUGAUUUAGUUUGUAGAUCAAUUGAAUCCAAAACACAGGCCAUCAGUAGACGUUCUUGUAUAUCAUUUUCACAGGUUUUAUACUUUCCUAAAAGUCUUGUAAUGGAUCUGUAAAAAAUGAGAUUUAGGGUAUUUAUCAAAACAGUCUACAAAGCCCUGAGCAUAAUGGCUCCCUCUUUUCAUCAUACCAGGACUUGUCCAGAGUCUCUUUACCCUGUUUCUUGUCAUAGAACUUCAAAGAGCAGUUACCCACCUCUCUGCCUCCUCUUGCUUUCUCUGCAUCGGCCUUGACAAUAGCACCUACUAUAAGACAAGCAGGUGCCCUUACUCAAGGGCAUAAGUGGCAAACAAAGUGGUUAACACAGUUCAAAAGCUUUGACAUGCUGACUUUGGGAGCAGCCCAAAUGGGAAAUGCUCUGGUUAUUCAUGCAAACGGCAGGUCUGUCCACCCUCCUUAAAAACUACUUUGCUUAUGGCCUGGUGGGUGGCUCACACCUAUAAUUCCAGCACUUUGGGAGGACGAGGUGGGCGGAUCACUUGAGGUCAGGAGUUCGAGAUCAGCCUGGCCAACAAGGUGAAACCCCAUCUCUACCAAAAAAUACAAAAAUUAGCCAUGCACGUGGCAUGUGGCUGUAAUCCCAGCUACUCCAGAGGCUGAGGCACGAGAAUCGCUUGAACCCAGGAGGUGGAGGUUGCAGUGAGCCGAGAUUGUGCCACCGCACUCCAGCCUGGGUGACAGAGCGAGACCCUGUCUCAAAAAAACAAAACAAAACAAAACAAAACAAAACAAACAAAGAAACACAAAAACUACAUCACUUAAAAAAUAUAUACAAAUAAACUCAGUCCAUUGCAAGGGCUCUUGACUGGGCUUGAGAGCUUGCAGGCCACUGACCUGCUGUGUGGAAACUAGAAAGACAGAACAUGAACGGGAAAAGCAGAGGGAGCCAGAGAGGGACUGAAAUUCAAGAAAAAUACAUUUAGAGGGCAGUGGGAGGAGGCGGAGCCAGAAAGCCAACAGAGGACGAAUGUUGAGAAAAGUAGGUGAAUAAGGAGGGUGUGAUUUCAAGGAAUCCAAGAAAACAGGGGAUACAGAGAAGGAGUGUUCAGCAGGACCUGCUACUACUGAUACCUAACAUUACCGCCUGUUCCUAUGUGCCAGGCUCUAGUUACGUGCAUGACCUAAGUUUUCUCUGUUGCCAUAGCUGGUAAGAGAGAUAUUAUUCUUAUGCUCAUAUUACAAAUAAGGAAGCUGAGGUUCUGAGAAGAUGAGCUAAUCUGCAAGAUCACACCACUACCUCAGUCUUGGAAGAUGUGAGCCUGGAGCUCAUGCACCAUCCCACACCAUGAGAGGAAAGCCUGCCUGAGAAAGGAGCCUACACAAAGGAUGCAAAGCAGAGAGACACAGGAAGAAGCCAGUUCUAUCACUUGCGCUGCUGGAUCAAGCCACGCCUAAAGAUGUCUCUAUCCCUGGACUUUCCAGUUAAGCCUAUUUGGAUGGCUUUCUCUCGAAGGCAACUCAGAGUCCUAAUAGAGAUAUUUCCAAUGCCACUGAUUUCCAGAUAUUACCACUUAUGCUCAAAAACUAUCAAUGGUUUCCUACUGCCUAUAGGAUAAAGUUGAAAUUCCUUAGCCUGGCACCAAGACCAUCCACAAGAUGGCCUCAAGUUACUUCCCCACCUUUAUUUUGAAUUGCUAUCUUAAAUGUAACCCUUCUUCUGUCAAGCUGUACACUCUGUCUCCUGAAUAUUCACCUUUGAAAAACAGUCUUGUUUUUCUAAGAAAUAUCGUCUCACCCACCGCAGGCCCCAGUGAUCUCUCUUCUCUGAAUUUCCAUCACAGCCACUGUCUUGAGCUUUUCUCUGACACUCAUCAUAAGCUACCUAACUGCUCUCAUUCUUUAACCAUUAUUUAAUGGGCAUUAGAGGUACUGAGGAGACGUGACAUCUGUCCUCAAGAAACUUGCAGACUAAUAGGCGAAUCAAUGACCAAAUAUUUAUGCAAAGAGUAUUACAUAGUUAAGAUAAGCAGUAAGAAAAAUAAAAGGCCAAGUUUUCAUCAGAAGGCAUUCGUCAGAAGCGGCCUGAUCUUUUGUACCUAAAAAUAAGACCAUAAGCCCCUCAGCUGACUGAACGGAACCCCUCUUGGCCACGUGGUCCCCAGAGAAACCUUAAAAACUGCGUUCCCAGCCAUGGCCCGAUGGAAGGUCAGACAUGCCUCAUUAUACCUCCUUCCUUUUGCAGUUUAGACACAACAAGGCACCAGCACUAAUAUGAAAAUAGAGAUCAUACAACUGACAGAAUGGACCCUUUGUAGCAAUAAGAUACUAAACUAUAAACAGGACCUAAGGCCACACCGGGCAAGGGUUAAGUCAUAUAUCCUACGCUCAAAGGAUAAACUCUGUUCUAGCUGCCACAAGAUUUUUCUUUUCCUCCAGAAGCUAAACAAGUGCUGGCCUGGAGAUAAGCAAUACUGAAACAAUGGCAGCUCAUCCACUGCCAGAUGCUGACCCACUGACCCCCUGCUCCACAAGCCGUAACUACAGCUUUGAUUGGACAGGAAACUGAUUUCAAUAACUUUCUGCUGGUAAGAAAACCACCGACCAUGCACUGGCUCUGGCCGGUUCACAGAGGCUACGCACUUGAGUGCCUUUGCAUCCUGAAAAGACCUUUUGACAUAUAGGGCCUAACUGUAAUAUAUUUAAAUGUUAAGUCUUCACCCCAAAGUGAACAUGGGUUGUAUGUAACAUGCAUGUUUAUUCAGUAUGCGGGUGUUAGGACCGCCUUCGUGAAUAUUCAUAGCUCCUCCUGUAACCUGUUGAGUAUGUAUAUUUGGCCAACCCAUUAAGCUUAUGCUCUUAUCUUACCCCUUUCUCCCUCAAAGUGCCUGCCUUUUGGGCUCUGUCAGAGGCUAUGCUUCCCAGCCUGUCAGGACAGCCACUGUGCAUGCUGUAACCCUUUAUAGAAAAUAAAAUCUCCUUUCGAAAUUUAUAAA
rnacentral:lncRNA from 1 species